rnacentral:rRNA from 1 species
UGCAUACAAUAAGCGGAGGAAAAGAAACUAACAAGGAUUCCCCUAGUAACGGCGAGCGAAGCGGGAAGAGCUCAAAUUUGAAAGCUGGCACCUUCGGUGUCCGCGUUGUAAUCUCGAGACGUGUUUUCCGUGUGGCGCUAUGGACAAGUCCCUUGGAACAGGGCAUCGUAGAGGGUGAAAAUCCCGUACUUGCCAUGGCUGUACCAUGCUUUGUGAUACACGCUCUAAGAGUCGAGUUGUUUGGGAUUGCAGCUCAAAAUGGGUGGUAGACUCCAUCUAAAGCUAAAUAUCGGGGAGAGACCGAUAGCGAACAAGUACCGUGAGGGAAAGAUGAAAAGCACUUUGGAAAGAGAGUUAAAAGUACGUGAAAUUGUCGAAAGGGAAGCGCUUGAAGUCAGCCAUGCUGCUUGAGACUCAGCCUUGCUUUUGCUUGGUGUAUUUCUCGGUAGCAAGCCAGCAUUGGUUCGAGUCGUCGGAGAAGGGUAUGAGAAAUGUGGCAUCCUCGGAUGUGUUAUAGACUUGUACUGGAUACGACGAUUUGGAUCAAGGAACGCAGUGUGCCUCUGGCGGGUCUUCGGACACCUUCACACUUAGGAUGCGGCGUAAGGCUUUAAGCGGGGUUUUAAACCGGCCCCUUUUAA